rnacentral:tRNA from 1 species
UUUUCUAUAGUACAAUAAGUACCUAACACCUUCAUUGUUAAAAUAGAGCUUUAUCUUAGAAAUA